CAUACUGGGGAGAAAGUUGAAGAAUUAUAUCUGAUGAUUGAAGGUGGUGUGGAAUUGUAUUAUGAACUUGAGGCGCUAUUUGAAUUCCGAGAGGGCACCAUGUUUGGUGAAGAAGGUUUGUUCCCCGAGUUCUCCAAAUCAGCUCAAUUCACAGCAGUGGUAAAUGAGGAUGAUACAUACAUGUACGCUG
rnacentral:ribozyme from 1 species